GUUAGCAUCAUUAAGAACUAGGGGUGGGCAUGGUUUGGAUUUUUAAAAAUCCAAACUGGAUCCACUCCAGAACCAGUUUUAUGGUUUAGGAAACCAAACCAGAACUGGAUUGAAGAGCAAAACCGGUUCUAAACCGGUUUAAAAAAAUAAAAACCGGUUCUAAACCGGUUUUAAAAUUUAAAUCCGGUUUUAUUUACAAACCGGUUUUAAAUCCGAUUUUACUUGCAAAACCGGUUUUAAAUCCGGU